AUUGAACGCUGGCGGCGUGCCUAACACAUGCAAGUCGAGCGGUAACGCGGGAGCAAUCCUGGCGACGAGCGGCGAACGGGUGAGUAAUGUUUCGGAAUCUGCCCAAGGGUGGGGAAUAACCAGCCGAAAGGUUGGCUAAUACCGCAUAAGUCCUACGGGAGAAAGCGGGGGAUCGCAAGACCUCGCGCCGAUGGAUGAGCCGAAACCGGAUUAGCUAGUUGGUAGGGUAAUGGCCUACCAAGGCGACGAUCCGUAGCUGGUCUGAGAGGACGACCAG
rnacentral:rRNA from 1 species